rnacentral:rRNA from 1 species
GUCUACGGCCAUGCUACCCUGAACAAGCCCGAUCCCGUUUGAUCUUGGAAGCCAAGUAGGGUUGGGCCCGGUUAGUACUUGGAUGGAAGACCACCUAGGAAGAUCAGGUGCCAUAGGCA